CACUUCAGGUUUAUUUGUACUUCUUGAAAUGAAACUGCAAGUCAAUACUAACUGAAGGAAAGUCUUCGCUGACUUCCAAGUCUGGGCACCACUGAAAGAACCUGAAAAGGAUUUGGCCUUUUCUUAUCUUUUUGAAGACUAGUAACAACAACAAAAACUUAGUGCUGAAUACCUGAUUCUAAAUUGAUGCUAUAGACACUAUGGCUGUAGGAGAAAAAGGGUUGGGGAAGGAAGUCUCCUCUCUAAAGGAAGACAUCUGGGAAAGAAGUAUCAACAAUUUCAAAGAGAAUUUUUGGGACAAAUACAUGUAGUAACUUCCCCGUGAGCUACGUGAAGGCUCAUCAGUACACAGAAGCCAGUUUCACAAAGCAAUUACAGAUUCUGAUGACUCAGCUAAAUACCAAAGAUGAGAAACAGAUUCCAUACAGAGCUGUCCUGUACGCUUAUACUCUUGAAAAAGCAGACAUCAGUUGAUAUAUAGGUAAUUAAUGGAUUUAAUGACUUUUUGCAUGCUUACUUGAAAAUUCACAGGGGAAGUCUGUAGUUACAGUUAAUGGUAGCAUCACAGAGGAUUAUUUUUGCCUAGUGAUUUGUAUUUUAUUCCUAGGUGUGUAUGUACAGAUCAUUAAACUCGUAUUCAUGUUGCAAAUAUUUGUGUAAGAAUUAAGUUCAAAAUCCUGAAUGACCAAGCAAAUUUUAUAGUUUGAAGUAAUCUUCCACAGGCAGUUGGCUGUAUGACUAAUAGAAUUACGUAUGCGUAAAAUUGCUUUUACUGUAGAAGCCAAAAUGCAGAAUAAUAGCUUGUCAAACUGUCAUUUGCAAGUGAGAUCAUAGAUUUCGUUGUCCAAAUUAGGUUGCAUUCUCCUUCUUUUGUCAGGUCACAUUCUAAUAACCAUAUUGUGCAUUAAACCCUGUGAUUAUCUGAACACUUGACAGAUGGUAGGCUGUUAAUUUACAUGUAAGAGACAGUGAUUGCCUGUGCAGUAAUGGUAUUCAACAAAAUAUAAAAUGUCAAAAUCCA